UCUCUCUCUCUCUCUCUCUCUCUCUCUCUCUCUCUCUCGUUCUAUCAUAUCUCUAAGGUCAUCAUCUCUUUCACAUUCAUUGUGGGUUCCGUGGAUUUGGAGUUGUCUUGUCGUGGCUACCGUAGACAUUGGCGUUCACUGCCCUGCCCUUGGUUGUCAUUGACAUUCACGUUCAUUGCCGUCGAUUUCUCGUUCCCUGGGCUUACGCCAUUGAAGGUCACUGAGCUCUCUCAAGUUCGCGACCCUUCAUCAACACUCUCAGGUUUAUAUCUUUAAAAUUCCUACACUAUGGGGACAUCAACAGGCCCUCAAAAAAAGCCACCCAAUUCCCCCAAAAAGAAGCUUUGCAUGACUUCUAAAAAAAUGAAAUUGGUUUCAGCUCAUUCGAACGAUUCAAGUCCGAGUACAAUUACAUCGGAUUCUAGGAAAAAAGCCUCGCGGUAUGAACACAAUGCCCCAAGUUAUAAAGAGGAAAACACAAGGGGUAAAAGCAGUAAUAGAGUACAACACCAAGUGUAUUUGUUUCAUCCCACGAGUCCUUGUUCUCUAUGGUCUUUUUUAUGCUCAUUUUUACAGGUUUUCUAUGGAAAUAUAGCCCAAUGGGAUGAUGGAGGAGACUUCAAUUGUGCAUCAUUUGUAUGUUUGGUUGCGGAAGGCUUGGAUUAGGAGUACGUAGGUCUUAUUAGGAAAAGCUUGUACUACUUAAUUACCAUGUAUUAAUUGAAUAUUUAUAUUUAAUUGGUAGGAAGUAUGUUUGUUGUAGACUAAAGAUUGGUUAACCAUGUAAUAACUAUUGAAUCUUCAAGUUUUAUGAAAGAAACUAUUUUU